UGCAGAUGAUGUGAGAGAAUAUUUGCUAUCUGGACGGUCGUGAUGACGCCUUAAACCACCAAGAUCGCUGAUGCA